UUUCUGCCUUACAGUGACACAGAAAAAAGUAUCUCCGGAGAAAUCUUCUAAAAGGACCCUACAGAACCUCAAACCUGAACCAGAACCCAGCCAUGUGUCCUUAAAGAGCGACUGGUCAAAGGAUGGCUUCAUGGAUUUUAAAUCAGAUCAACCUUCAGCUGCAGAGAGCUUUAAGUCCCCUGAGUUGGAAUUGACAAAAGAUAUCGAGAACAACUUCCAAAAUAAUUAACUAAAAAGAGUACUAGAUCUUCUGGAAUUGGACUCUCUUUUAUCAGAGUGCAGCUCUGCAUCUUUAAAGAGCAACGCGUUUGAAGAUAUGGACCAAUACG